rnacentral:lncRNA from 1 species
CCAGGGGGUUCGAUUCCUUCCUUUUUUGUCUAGAUUUUAUGUAUACGGGUUCUUCGAAUGUGUGGUAGGGUGGGGCGCAUCCAUAUAGUCACUCCAGGUUUAUGGAGGGUUCUUCUAUUAUUAGGACUUUUCGCUUUGAAGCGAAGGCUUCUCAAAUCAUGAAAAUUAUUAAUAUUACUGCUGUUAGGGAAAUGAAUGAGCCUACAGAUGAUAGGAUAUUUCAUGUGGUGUAUGCAUCGGGGUAGUCCGAGUAACGUCGGGGUAUUCCAGAUAGGCCAAGAAAGUGUUGUGGGAAGAAAGUUAGGUUUACGCCGAUGAAUAUGAUAGCGAAAUGGAUUUUAGCGUAGGUUUGGUCUAGGGUGUAGCCUGAGAAUAGGGGAAAUCAGUGAAUGAAGCCCCCUAUGAUGGCGAAUACAGCUCCUAUUGAUAGGACGUAGUGGAAGUGGGCUACGACGUAGUAUGUGUCGUGUAGUACGAUGUCUAGUGAUGAGUUUGCUAAUACAAUGCCAGUUAGGCCGCCUACAGUGAAGAGAAAAAUGAAUCCCAGGGCUCAGAGCACCGCAGCAGAUCAUUUCAUAUUGCUUCCGUGGAGUGUAGCGAGUCAGCUAAAUACUUUGACGCCGGUGGGAAUAGCGAUGAUUAUGGUAGCGGAGGUGAAAUAUGCUCAGAUAAGAAAAGCA